AUUGAUUAUUUAAAUCCCCUAGGAUGCGAGAUCCAAAUUUUUUCUCUAGACCAAUUUCCUCAGAGGAAAUAGUUGAUACAGAAAGAGGAUAUAAAAUCCACGUCUCUGAAGAAGCAUUACAGAGGAGCAGCAAUAGACGGGGGAAAACCUAUAAGGAAGUGGAUUUGAUUGUGUCUAUUCUCAACGAGGCUUUCUUCAGGGUCAGCAGCAGUUCAGACACCAAAGAGGGAAAUGACUCACAUGAGUCAAAACCAGUAUUUUGCAUGGGCAAAGUGUGUUGGGAGUUUGGCUUGGUGUGAAAGAAAUUCGCAACCUUUCUCAGCCUGUUCAACUCAGAUUCAUAAACACCAAUCAGAGUGAAAAUGGAAUUUGUGUCUACUGGCAUAUUGAUAAAAA